rnacentral:rRNA from 1 species
CUAGCGGCAGGCUUAACACAUGCAAGUCGAGGGACCGGCAAACGGGUGCGGAACACGUACACAACCUACCUUUAUCAGGGGAAUAGCCCAGAGAAAUUUGGAUUAAUGCCCCAUAGAUAGAGAUGGGUGUGCGUAAGAUUAGCUAGUUGGUAAGGUAACGGCUUACCAAGGCGACGAUCUUUAGCUGAUGUGAGAGCAUGAUCAGCCACACGGGCACUGAGACACGGGCCCGACUCCUACGGGAGGCAGCAGUGAGGAAUAUUGGUCAAUGGACGAAAGUCUGAACCAGCCAUGCCGCGUGAAGGAUGAAGGCGUCUGCGUUGUAAACUUCUUUUAUCUGAGAAGCGGUAUCAGAUGAAUAAGCACCGGCUAACUCCGUGCCAGCAGCCGCGGUAAUACGGAGGGUGCAAGCGUUAUCCGGAUUUACUGGGUUUAAAGGGUGUGUAGGCGGACUUUUAAGUCAGGGGUGAAAUCUCCGAGCUCAACUCGGAAACUGCCUUUGAUACUAUUAGUCUUGAAUUAUGUUGAGGUUGGCGGAAUAUAACAUGUAGCGGUGAAAUGCAUAGAUAUGUUAUAGAACACCGAUUGC